rnacentral:rRNA from 1 species
GGGAUAACCUUGCGAAAGUAAGACUAAUACCCAAUGACGUCUCUAGAAGACAUCUGAAAGAGAUUAAAGAUUUAUCGGUGAUGGAUGGGGAUGCGUCUGAUUAGCUUGUUGGCGGGGUAACGGCCCACCAAGGCAACGAUCAGUAGGGGUUCUGAGAGGAAGGUCCCCCACAUUGGAACUGAGACACGGUCCAAACUCCUACGGGAGGCAGCAGUGAGGAAUAUUGGUCAAUGGGCGAGAGCCUGAACCAGCCAAGUAGCGUGCAGGAUGACGGCCCUAUGGGUUGUAAACUGCUUUUAUAAGGGAAUAAAGUGGGAGUCGUGACUCCUUUUGCAUGUACCUUAUGAAUAAGGACCGGCUAAUUCCGUGCCAGCAGCCGCGGUAAUACGGAAGGUCCGGGCGUUAUCCGGAUUUAUUGGGUUUAAAGGGAGCGUAGGCCGGAGAUUAAGCGUGUUGUGAAAUGUAGACGCUCAACGUCUGCACUGCAGCGCGAACUGGUUUCCUUGAGUACGCACAAAGUGGGCGGAAUUCGUGGUGUAGCGGUGAAAUGCUUAGAUAUCACGAAGAACUCCGAUUGCGAAGGCAGCUCACUGGAGCGCAACUGACGCUGAAGCUCGAAAGUGCGGGUAUCGAACAGGAUUAGGUACCCUGGUAGUCCGCACGGUAA